rnacentral:lncRNA from 1 species
GAAACUACUCUCUGAAAGAAGUUGGAGAAAAAUUAUUAAUGCACUUGAAGAAGAUCAAGAAAAAAGAAAGCGUGAGUAAUGUUUUGGCUCCAUUAUAGUUUUAUGAGAGCACCAUCACAUAUGCGGUUCGUUGCUGACCAAAACAUUGCCUCAUGCUGGAGAAGAGUAUCCGAGCAUAGUUGCUGCUUCGAGUCACUCCAGGGAGAUCUAAAAUUCCAGGUGUGACCUCACAAGGCAACUUGCAUUCUUAACUCUGUCUCAGCCCCUGAGAACCCUGAGCUUGUUGGAUAACCCAACCUGCAAAACACAGCUCACAGAUUUCUGAGAAGCCUGAAGAUUCAGGAUCAGGACCAUAGUAAGAUAUGAGUGUCUAGGUAGCAUGACAACAGCCAGAACCACUUCUCAACAAUUGUGUGAUGUGUACACAGCUGCUGCAGUCCUGGACACUCAUCACUGCCACCCAUGACUCUGGAAUUGGGUAUUGCUGUGGACAACAAUACUACUUUGUUCUGGGAAAGAAUGCCCCUUCAUCCUUGCUUCUUUGAGUCACUCAAUGGAGAUUCAAGGUGACAUAUGGGAACAUUACAUUUGCUGAGCAUGUUUGUGCAGCCCUAGGCCUCAGGGGUGAAGGAAAGUGCCCCCUGUUUUGUUCUGUUUUUGCAGUAGGAACCCAGCUCUGUCACUCAGCAAGUCUCAAAGAUGGCCUUAAAUAGGGAGAUCCCACAACAUAACAAGGGAGUUCCACAUAGUGGACAGUCAAAAGCAUGGACACAUCUCCCAUACCGUGGAUCUUCCUAGGGUUCCAAACUCCCCUUGAAACUUACACAUUGGCAGGUAUAAAGUGAACAGCACAAUUGUUCACCUCUGGAAAUAGAAGGGCCACUCCCUAAUCACCAUGGAAAUAUUCCUAAGAAUGUGCCUUUUCUUAUUGGGCAGAAGGCCAGAUAUCUUUUUUUAUCAGUUUUUUCAAUGGCAGUAAUUUAUUUCACAAGGUCACCUUUAAUGGGCCUGACCCAUUUUUCUGCCUAUAUUUUAAUCACAGGCUGUAUCUUCAGCUUCUCCACACUAGAUGAUACCUUAUCCUCCCAGCCUACUGUUCAGUGUUUUUAUGGGCACGCUCAUUCCUCAACAAUACUGGUCCCACAGUAUUUUUCUCUCCAAUCACAACAGAGCAUACCACUGCUGCCUCCAGGCAUGGCAACACCAUGUCUGGCCACCAACAUUGCCAAAUUGGACACCACUUCCACUCUCCUCACUGGAAAUAGAUGCUGUAGCCAUUUAUGCCACUGCUGCCGGAGUAAACUCUCACUUCCUACCA